rnacentral:rRNA from 1 species
AUCACGCUGGCGGCGUGCCUCAGACAUGCAAGUCGAACGAUUAAAGCUCUCUUCGGAGAGUGCAUAGAGUGGCGCACGGGUGAGUAACACGUAAGUAAUCUACCCUCGAGUGGGGAAUAACGUCCGGAAACGGACGCUAAUACCGCAUAAUGCAGCGGCACCGCAAGGUGACAGUUGUUAAAGAUUUAUCGCUUGAGGAGGAGCUUGCGGCAGAUUAGCUAGUUGGUAAGGUAAUGGCUUACCAAGGCUACGAUCUGUAACCGGUCUUAGAGGACGGUCGGUCACACUGACACUGAAUAACGGGUCAGACUCCUACGGGAGGCAGCAGUCGGGAAUUUUGGGCAAUGGGCGAAAGCCUGACCCAGCAACGCCGCGUGAAGGAUGAAGUAUUUCGGUAUGUAAACUUCGAAAGAAUAGGAAGAAUAAAUGACGGUACUAUUUAUAAGGUCCGGCUAACUACGUG